CUUGCAAUAUUUCGUUGAAUAAUGCUGAAUAAAGUCCAGUCUUGGACACAUUUUAACUUUUGGAAUCGUGAAAGCCUAUAGAAUCGAAAAAAAGAUCAGUGUUUUCGUGAUUAUACUUAAUUCAUUGUGUGUACAUCUGUGUGUUAAAAUUUUGAUUUAUUUUGUUCGGUUACGUGUGGCUUAUAACAGCUAACGGAAUUCUUUAUCUGUAACUUUGCUAGUCCAGGCGCUUUUGAAGUUGAAGAUGAAACAAGAAUAUCGCUUCUGGGA